GAUGAACGCUAGCUACAGGCUUAACACAUGCAAGUCGAGGGGAAACGAUAUUGGAAGCUUGCUUCCGAUAGGCGUCGACCGGCGCACGGGUGAGUAACGCGUAUCCCACCUGCCCACCACUUGGGGAUAACCUUGCGAAAGUAAGACUAAUACCCAAUGAUAUCUCUCGAAGACAUCAGAAGGAGAUUAAAGAUUUAUCGGUGAUGGGAGGGGAUGCGUCUGUUUAGCUUGUUGGCGGGGUAACGGCCCACCAAGGCGACGAACAGUAGGGGUUCUGAGAGGAAGGUCCCCCACAUUGGAACUGGGACACGGUACAAACUCCUACGGGAGGCAGCAGUGAGGAAUAUUGGUCAAUGGACGAGAGUCUGAACCAGCCAAGUAGCGUGCAGGAUGACGGCCCUAUGGGUUGUAAACUGCUUUUAUAAGGGAAUAAAGUGAGUCUCGUGAGACUUUUUGCAUGUACCUUAUGAAUAAGGACCGGCUAAUUCCGUGCCAGCAGCCUCCGUAA
rnacentral:rRNA from 1 species